GAUGAAUAACGUAGUGAAAUGCGAUAAGUAAUGUGAAUUGCAGAAUUCAGUGAAUCAUCGAAUCUUUGAACGCACAUUGCGCCCCCUGGUAUUCCGGGGGGCAUGCCUGUCCGAGCGUCAUUACAACCCUCAAGCUCAGCUUGGUGUUGGGCCCCGCCGCCCCGGCGGGCCCUAAAGUCAGUGGCGGUGCCGUCCGGCUCCGAGCGUAGUAAUUCUUCUCGCUCUGGAGGUCCGGUCGUGUGCUCGCCAGCAACCCCCAAUUUUUUUCAGGUUGACCUCGGAUCAGGUAGGGAUACCCGCUGAACUUAAGCAUAUCAAUAAGCGGAGGA
rnacentral:misc_RNA from 1 species